rnacentral:rRNA from 1 species
GAUGAACGCUGGCGGCGUGCCUAAUACAUGCAAGUCGAACGCACAGCGAAAGGUGCUUGCACCUUUCAAGUGAGUGGCGAACGGGUGAGUAACACGUGGAUAACCUACCUCAAGGUUGGGGAUAACAUUUGGAAACAGAUGCUAAUACCGAAUAAAACUUCGUAUCGCAUGAUACAAGGUUAAAAGGCGCUACGGCGUCACCUAGAGAUGGAUCCGCGGUGCAUUAGUUAGUUGGUGGGUAAAGGCUACCAAGACAAUGAUGCAUAGCCGAGUUGAGAGACUGAUCGGCCACAUUGGGACUGAGACACGGCCCAAACU